rnacentral:tRNA from 1 species
GGUUGUGGAUCAGUGGUAGAGCGCUUUGCUAGCCUGCAUGAGGCACUGGGUUCAAUCCCCAGCACCA